rnacentral:misc_RNA from 1 species
CCCCGGGAGAAAUCUUCAAUCCACUGGCUAUCUUCGUUACUUUCAAUGCCCAGAAAAACCUCAGUUUCAACCAAACUGUCAAACCUUAAAGUUCCAUGAAGACUGUCAUCAAAAUCAAACUUUGGAAGAGCAUACGGCCGUAGAACAGAAGGAAAUUUAUUGCUCCCUUCACCAGCUAAAUGAAGAUUCUGGCUGUGAAAAUCAUUGUCAUCAUAAUCCAUGGGUAUAUGCCAGAACAAUUAAGUCUAGAG